GCAGACGAGUCCUCACCUCAAAAUGUUUACAUUAAAGUAGCCACAAACGAGACACGACAGACUCAACAAGAUGAAUCUGGAUCAUCAAUUUUUAGAUCAACCCCUCAGUCCCCCUGCUGCCGAAAAUUUGAGCUCUCCAGAGAAGGCAGAAAUGUGCAGUGACACCUAAAUUCAAAAUCCAUGCUGGAUACCUGAGAGAGGUUCAGAAAAUAUAGUUUUUUUAAUUUUGUAAAACUUUAGUUUCUGUUGUGUUUUUGUUAGUCUGUAUGCACAUGUGCUGGUCCAGUUACAGUUAGUUUCCUUGAGAGGCUCAAAUAUUACAGGUCUUAUUCACAUAAUCAUAACUCAAUUGCAUUUUAGUUCUUUUAUAUGUGUUUGUUUAUGAUACAUAAUCAAUAAUUUAGUAUACUCAAUUAAAAUAUGUGAUUAAAUUUUUGUUAUUUAACUCAUGAUGUAAUUUUAUCAGUU